rnacentral:rRNA from 1 species
AGAGUUAAAUAGUACGUGAAAUUGUUGAAAGGGAAACGCUUGAAGUCAGUCGUGCUGGCGCGAAAUCAACCUGCCCGCUGAGCGAUCACCUGCCGUGGCGAGCCUCAAAACCGCCACGGUUCGUGACCACUUAACGGUCUGGUGCACUUUUGUGUCGGCUGGUUAACGUCAAUUUCUCACGUCAUAAAAAGGCUGGAGGGAUGUGGCUCCUUCGGGAGUGUUAUAACCUUUAGCGGAAUGUGGUGUUUGGGAUUGAGGAUUGCAACGAAUACCUUUAGGGCUGUUCCACCUGGUCUCUCUUUGGCAUCUUGGCGGCGACAGCUUGCUGACGUUGUUAAGAUUUGACAUUGAACAGGCUAGAGUGUUUACAAAUUCGUUAAGGAUGUUAACGUAAUGGCUUUAAACGACC